CUGGAGUUUUACUCAAGAACUGCCUACAUUAUGCUGACAUACAUUAAAAGACCAAGAAAACAAGGACCUUAAUUAGGACAUGAGAAGAGGAUUCAGAGAGACACUGCAUAAGAAAACUGUCAAAACUUGAAUAACUUAAUGAAUGGAUGACAGGCAAAUGUCAAAGUUGACUUCGAUAUUAAUACCACUAACUUGAUGACAAGGAAGGAAAAAAUGAGUACAGGCCAAUGACUCUACUCCAU